GUGCUUGCUUCGGCAGCACAUAUACUAAAAUUGGAAUGAUACAGAGAAGAUUAGCUAUGGCCUCUGCACAAGGAUGACACACAAAUUUGUGAAGUGUUCCAUAUUAAA